rnacentral:rRNA from 1 species
AAACAACUCUCAGCAACGGAUAUCUUGGCUCUUGCAACGAUGAAGAACGCAGCGAAAUGCGAUACGUAGUGUGAAUUGCAGAAUUCCGAGAAUCAUCGAGUCUUUGAACGCAAGUUGCGCCCGAGGCUUGUCCGAGGGCAUUUCCGCUAGAGCGUCACC